rnacentral:rRNA from 1 species
GACGAACGCUGGCGGCGUGCUUAACACAUGCAAGUCGAACGGAAAGGCCCUGCUUUUGUGGGGUGCUCGAGUGGCGAACGGGUGAGUAACACGUGAGUAACCUGCCCUUGACUUUGGGAUAACUUCAGGAAACUGGGGCUAAUACCGGAUAGGAGCUCCUGCUGCAUGGUGGGGGUUGGAAAGUUUCGGCGGUUGGGGAUGGACUCGCGGCUUAUCAGCUUGUUGGUGGGGUAGUGGCUUACCAAGGCUUUGACGGGUAGCCGGCCUGAGAGGGUGACCGGCGACAUUGGGACUGCGAUACGGCCCAGACUCCUGCGGGAGGCAGCAGUGGGGAAUAUUGCACAAUGGGCGGAAGCCUGUUGCAGCAACGCCGCGUGCGGGAUGACGGCCUUCGGGUUGUAAACCGCUUUCGCCUGUGACGAAGCGUGAGUGACGGUAAUGGGUAAAGAAGCACCGGCUAACUACGUG